CCAAUAGCGUAUAUUAAAGUUGUUGCAGUUAAAAAGCUCGUAGUUGAAUUUCGGAAUCUGUCCGUUGGUCGGGCUUAACUGUCCGUACUGAUGUGAUGGGUUCUUACCUUCUGAAUAACCAUCAUGCCAUUAAUUUGGUGUGUUGGGGAAGCAGGACUAUUACCUUGAAAAAAUUAGAGUGCUCAAAGCAGGCUAGUGCCUGAAUACAUUAGCAUGGAAUAAUAAAAUAGGACGGCAUGGUUCUAUUUUGUUGGUUUCUAGGAUCACCGUAAUGAUUAAUAGGGAUAGUUGGGGGCAUUAGUAUUCAAUUGUCAGAGGUGAAAUUCUUGGAUUUAUUGAAGACUAACUUCUGCGAAAGCAUUUGCCAAGGAUGUUUUCAUUAAUCAAGAACGAAAGUUAGGGGAUCGAAGACGAUCAGAUACCGUCGUAGUCUUAACCAUAAACUAUGCCGACUAGGGAUCGGACGAUGUUAAUUUUAUAAUGACUCGUUCGGCGCCUUACG
rnacentral:rRNA from 1 species